UACAGAGGGUGCGAGCGUUAAUCGGAAUUACCGGGCGUAAAGCGCACGUAGGUGGCGACGUAAGUCGGGUGUGAAAGCCCCGGGCUCAACCUGGGAAUUGCAUUCGAGACUGCAUUGCUGGAGUACGGAAGAGGAGGGCGGAAUUCCCGGUGGUAGCGGUGAAAUGCGUAGAUAUCGGGAGGAACAUCAGUGGCGAAGGCGGCCCUCUGGUCCAGUACUGACACUCAAGUGCGAAAGCGUGGGGAGCAAACAGG
rnacentral:rRNA from 1 species